rnacentral:other from 1 species
GUUUUCCUGGGAUGCUCGACAAUCCUAUUAUUUUGAACCUACAUCUAUUUUUAAGGGAUUCCAAGAUCGCAAGUUGGAUGUCAGACCUCUCGUCGUGGUAGGCAGAAUACUUGUUGAGGAAACCCACCUAGCUUCAGUGCUAGGCGUCAAAAGAUAGGACCGGCAUUUUGGGACACUC